rnacentral:lncRNA from 1 species
GUUGAUGUUACAGGUCCACGUUAAGGAACAUGGACUUAGAGGACAUCACACUUGAAAAAAAGUAACUAUAUUCAAGAAGAAAUUACUUUUACUCUUGGAGGAAAAGCAACUCACCAAUAGCUUCAGUUUGCUGUUAGAGAUUGAAGAUUACGUGAAGUUCAGAACACAGGUGUAUUACAUUUUGGCUGUCUUCCUGACUAGCAUGAUCAUACUCUUGAGUACCCACUGUUCUCCUACAGAGAGUUUAUGAAAACAGAUCAUAGGUGCCAAGAAUAAUAUAUUGGCAAUACUGAAGCCCAUCUUUACUGCUACA